ACAGGGAUUGCCCCAGUAACGGCGAGUGAAGCGGCAACAGCUCAAAUUUGAAAUCUGGCCCCCAGGGCCCGAGUUGUAAUUUGCAGAGGAUGCUUUUGGCGCGGCGCCUUCCGAGUUCCCUGGAACGGGACGCCAUAGAGGGUGAGAGCCCCGUCUGGUCGGACGCCAAGCCAGUGUAAAGCUCCUUCGACGAGUCGAGUAGUUUGGGAAUGCUGCUCUAAAUGGGAGGUAUAUGUCUUCUAAAGCUAAAUAUUGGCCAGAGACCGAUAGCGCACAAGUAGAGUGAUCGAAAGAUGAAAAGCACUUUGAAAAGAGGGUUAAACAGUACGUGAAAUUGUUGAAAGGGAAGCGCUUGUGACCAGACUUGGGCCCGGUGAAUCAUCCAGCGUUCUCGCUGGUGCACUUCGCCGGGCUCAGGCCAGCAUCAGUUCGCCGCGGGGGAUAAAAGCUUCGGGAACGUGGCUCCCUCGGGAGUGUUAUAGCCCGUUGCACAAUACCCUGCGGUGGACUGAGGUUCGCGCUCCGCAAGGAUGCUGGCGUAAUGGUCAUCAGCGACCCGUCUUGAAACACGGACCAAGGAGUCGUCUUCGUAUGCGAGUGUUCGGGUGUCAAACCCCUACGCGUAAUGAAAGUGAACGCAGGUGAGAGCUUCGGCGCAUCAUCGACCGAUCCUGAUGUUCUCGGAUGGAUUUGAGUAAGAGCAUACGGGGCCGGACCCGAAAGAAGGUGAACUAUGCCUGUAUAGGGUGAAGCCAGAGGAAACUCUGGUGGAGGCUCGCAGCGGUUCUGACGUGCAAAUCGAUCGUCAAAUAUGGGCAUGGGGGCGAAAGACUAAUC
rnacentral:rRNA from 1 species